CUUGGGCAGGCUGGGACUGGCCAGGACACCACAGGGUUGCCAGGUGACAGACAACAGCGUGCCGAGCAGCUCCGGGGUGCACUGUGCCUCCUCCCAGGGAGGUUCCUCUCCGUGCCCCCCGGCCAUCACAGCGCAGGCAGCUGAGCCCGGCUGCAUCCCGCUUGGGACGUUCACUCUGAAGCGUAAUGAGGACCUUGAGCCUUCUGGAGCAGAGCUCUGCAACCCGGGGCACCCCAUCCCUGUCCCCCCCCCAGCAGCGCAGUGCUGGGACGUAUGGCAGAGCCUGCAGUGCCUCUCCUGACACUGUCGAUGUCCGUGGGACGGCCGUGACUCCCGCUGAGGGCAGAGCUCUGGCUGCAGAUCCCAGCUUGGGAGGCUCCAGAUUUGCUGCUCCCCACGCAAGGAUGGUGGAACGCGGAGCGUGGAGCUGCUGGGGGCCACAGUGGGGCAGCAGGAGCAGCUCCAGCUCUGUGUGCACCGAGGAUGUGGCUGCCAGGUGUUGGGAGGGCACAGUGGGGACCUCCGAGGAGGAGGAGGAGGAGGAGGAUGGCAGCGGGCAGGAUGGGGCCCCGCUCCUGUGGCAGUGCCCCUGGCAGGACAUGUCCCCAGGGCUGAUGAGGAGGGGGAGUCUGGAGUCGCUGGGAGCCAGGAUAUCCAGGCUGAGCCAGAGUGGGGCUGUGACCCCCUGCCCGGCCCCCUCCGGGCACCCAGCGCAGGGCAGGGGGGAUGCAUCCCACUGGGGCUCAAGCUCCAGGGCAAAGCCCUCAGUCACCACUGUGCAUGGUGGGGAUGGGGACGCUGGACAUCUCCGGAGACCCUCAGGCAGCUCAGCCAGCAGGAGCAGGGCCAGGGCCAUGGGACACUGCAGAUGGCAGGAGCCACCAGCACGCCGGGGGUGGCAUGGAGGGGACGUCACCCUCACUGCAGAGAAGGAAGGAGAUGGCGACGGGCGGAGGAGAGCUCUCUGCACCAAAGCAGCAGUGGGACCCACCAGGAGAUGCAGCCCCUGGGCAGAGGGGCAGCACGAGGUGUCCUGCCCAGGGCAUGCAGCCAAGCCCCGGUGGCAGCGUUGGAAGCAGAAGGCCAUCCUGUCCCAUAGGCUGGCAGCGCUGCGCCGGGCCCUGAGGAGCAGCCAGGAGGGGAUGCAGGAGCCAGGAGCUGGAGCUCAGGGCAUGCAGAGCGAUGGGGAUGGGGCCAGGUGUGUGCUGUGACCCCGCUCUGGGGUCCUAUGGGCAAUGGGGGAGUUCUGGGGUGUCCCACUGGGUGAUGCUCUCCUCUCUGCAGGGCACGUGCGUGGGAUUGUGUGGAUGUGGAGGAGGUGGUGAGCACUCUGAGAUGGGCAAAGGGGGGUGGCAGAGGGACAGGUUGGGGGGCAGCAGGGCAGGGGCUGGGCUGGCCAUGCCAUAAGAAGGGAGGAAGGAGUGGGAGGGAGGCGGAAGGGGGGUCCCUGUCUCAGCAGGGGCAGAAGGGCUGUGCUGAACGCCCAGGGAAGGUGAGGAGGAAAACGUUGGAUCUCAGAGAAGAGAAGAGGGAGCUGCAGGAGAGGCUCUGUGGGUUGGAGCUCCAGAUGCUCUCCAUGCUGCGGCAGAGGCAGGAGGCCCUGGGGCAGCUGCGGGCAGUGCUGCAGAAGGAGAGGAUGGCCACACUCAGGCAGCUGCAGGAGAGCCUGGAGAAGGUGAAUGGGACCAUCUGUGUCUGUCAGAACUGUCACCCAGAGGAGCUGGCAGCCCCAGGAGCCCUGAAGGAGCCACUGACCCCAGAGAGAGCCCUGCGGGAGGCAGCGACGUGUGUGUGGGAUCCAGCCCGGCCACCAUCUCCUUCCCCUUCUACACCUGGGUUGAGCCAUGCCACAGCAGCAGCACACGGCGCUGGGGAUCCUGCACCACAUCCAGCGCUGCCUGCGGGAGCUGCAAGUAGAGGACCUCGGUGUGCUGGGAGCAGAGCUGGGCACCACAGCAAAUGAGGAGAGGUUCCUGAUGCCACCUCUUGACAUUCCUCCAAGCCCCAACAGGAACAAGCUCGCUGCUGCGACCAGGACUCGAGAUGAAGCAUGGAGGUGGUGAUGCAUCCCUCUACCUCCCUAUGCAUACCCAGGUCGACCAGUUGUGAAGCUGCUGAACGGGUCCCACGGAAUUUCCCAUGUAGAAGCUUCUCUUAGGUCCUGGCUGGGCUCCUUCCAAGGGCUGGGGACCGCGGGACAGCAUUUUGGGUGCGAUGGGUGAGGUCACGUGCCUCCACCAGGCUGCUGUCCAAGGUCCUGCCGGGAGAACCUGGAUUCCCUACCAGCAUCUUUGCUCCUCACACUCAUUUAGGAGCUUGGAAUGGAGAGGUCCAUGUUGCAGGGGUGGUCUCUCAGUGGGGUGGGAAUGAAGGUUUUGGGUUGGGGUGAGAUAUAGAGAAGUAGAUGGGGAGUAAGGGCUGGGGGAAAUCUCGUGCCUUCCCAGGUCUGGUUGGCUGGGCCACGCACAUCGGGAGUGCUUUGGGAUGGCUGUGGGCAGAAACACUUCAGGAAAAAAAGAAGUUUAAAAAUGAGGAAUUGUUCUACUUAGGAGCUCUCAAAUAAUUUUAAAGAGGAGAAACCUAUUUCUCAGUCUUCACACAUCUCAAUGGAGAAAAUGCUGUUUUUAAUUUGCAGGAGAAUGCCCAAGGAGAGUUUCUCUGCAUGCGAGGGGGGAAAUGAGAAUUUCAUGCAGUACUGAUUGCUGCACUUCCUUGCUGGAGGAGGCAGGGAGUGAAAAUGGAAAUCUUUGUCUGCUUUCUUCCCAAUCAAAAUAAAAAUGUUCCUCAUUAUAUUUUUCUGGACUGGGGAGAUUUCUGAAUUUACUUCUGAUGCACAGCUCUGUUUGUAAGCUCCCUUUAGGUAGUGGAAGGCCACAGUGAGGUCUUCCCAGGUCCUUCUCUUCACCAGGAUACCCAAAAAUGUGAUUUUUCUGCCUUACCUCAUGCUUGCAACCUUUGGGAUGCU
ensembl:lncRNA